rnacentral:rRNA from 1 species
UGGGGAAUUUUGGACAAUGGGCGAAAGCCUGAUCCAGCAAUGCCGCGUGUGUGAAGAAGGCCUUCGGGUUGUAAAGCACUUUUGUCCGGAAAGAAAUCCUUGGCUCUAAUACAGUCGGGGGAUGACGGUACCGGAAGAAUAAGCACCGGCUAACUACGUGCCAGCAGCCGCGGUAAUACGUAGGGUGCAAGCGUUAAUCGGAAUUACUGGGCGUAAAGCGUGCGCAGGCGGUUUGCUAAGACCGAUGUGAAAUCCCCGGGCUCAACCUGGGAACUGCAUUGGUGACUGGCAGGCUAGAGUAUGGCAGAGGGGGGUAGAAUUCCACGUGUAGCAGUGAAAUGCGUAGAGAUGUGGAGGAAUACCGAUGGCGAAGGCAGCCCCUGGCCAAGUACUGACGCUCAUGCACGAAAAGCGUGGGGAGCAAAACAGGAUUAGAUACCCUGGUAGUCCACGCCCUAAAACGAUGUCAACUAGUUGUUGGGGAUUCAUUUCCUUAGUAACGUAGCUAACGCGUGAAGUUGACCGCCUGGGGAGUACGGUCGCAAGAUUAAAAACUCAAAGGAAUUGACGGGGUCAUAGCUGUUUCCU